AACAAUUUUAUAAAAUCAAUUUAAAGAAAAUUAUUUUCGUGCUAAACUCAGCCAAACACUUAUAGCUUUUAACAAAAAUUAAAAUUUUCAAUUCAAAAUUUAAUUAUAUAAAAAUUACUUUUUAAAAUCUAGACCAAACAGCUCUAUAGUAAUGCAAAACGAUGAUAUGAAAGAGCCAGAAAAACAUAACACUUAGGGUGUGUUUGGUUCGGGUUAUCCUAGUAGGAUUACAGGCAAUCCUGUCGGCAUUAUUGUGUUUGGUUCAUCCGAUUUGUAAUCUUGUCGGUAAUAUAGCAUUACAAAUGGUACAGAAUUACACCAAAAAUAUUACCGAAAGGGGGGCUGUGUAUCUUGGAUUACUGAAAGCCCGUAAUAUUGCAUAUUAUGUAAAAUGACAAUUUUACCUCUUUAACGUCCGAAACUCUUUCAAUACGUCACUUUAAAAUUUUAAUUUUAAUUUUGAAUUGUCAACUUUCAAAUUUUAAAUUUUAAAUUUUAAUUUUAAUUUUAAUUUUAAUUUUCAAAUUUUAAUUUUUAAAUUUUAAAUUUUAAAUUUUUUAACUUCAAAUUUAAAUUUUAAAUUUUAAAUUUUAAAUUUGUAUUUUAAAUUCUAAAAUUUUAAAUUUAAAUUUAUAUUUAUAUUUAUAUUUUAGAUUUUAAAAUUAUAAAUUUCAUAUUUAUAUUUUAAAUUAAAAUAUUAAAUUUUAUAAUUUUAAAAUUUAAAAUUUAAAAAAUUUAAAUUAUUUAAAAUAAAAUUUAGUAAAAAAAUAUUAUUUGUAAAUAGUAAAAAAAUGUUUGCGGAAUAUGGCUAAGAGCAAUUUUGUAAUAGACUAUAAUUUAUUGUGUAGAUUACUGAAUUUUAUAAAUAAAACCAAACAUAAUAAUGCUAUAAAUACUGCAAUCCAUGUCACGCUCCGGAUUCCUCGUUUCUCCGAGCACGCUAACAGACCCACCGUAUACAUAGAAAUUUUUCCUAUAUACGAAGCGAAGCUGUACUUGUACCUGUAAUCAUACAACACUAUAACCAGUAGUAUAGAGCUGCUAGAAAGGAAUAAAAUAUAUAUAAUAACAAUGGUUUAAUACAUACAUAGCAUCCGGGUACAAAAAAAUACUCGCUCCAAUGAGGUACAACAUCAGUAUGUAAAGAACCAAAACUGGUACUCCUCUAGCUCUGUGACUCGUCUGGAAUAGCUCUAACUCGCAACGUCCUUGCCACGAUCAGUAUUAGCAGUAGCAGCAGCCGCAACCGAAUGCUCUACAAAAGAUCCACAACUGGGCGUGAGAACUACUGCAAAAAGAAGUA
rnacentral:lncRNA from 1 species